ACAAGACAUGUUCGGCGAGGGUUCUCCGAUCCGAUGUGCCAUUUUCUUCACUGUCCUCCUCCUAAUAGCUAAUACUGAUAUAGGAAAGGAAAGCCUUGGAUGUUCCACUCAACGACCAGAUGCAAAUGUCACCUAACCUAAGGAGAGAAGUAAUAUUAUAUUAACUAGAUUCGUGAGAUGAGAUGCUAACUAACUUAAUACUUAU
rnacentral:lncRNA from 1 species